UACGUAGGUGGCAAGUGUUGUCCGGAAUUAUUGGGCGUAAAGCGCGCGCAGGCGGUCCUUUAAGUCUGAUGUGAAAGCCCCGGGCUCAACCCGGGAAGUGCACCCGAAACUGGAUGGCUUGAGUAUCGGAGAGGUUGGUGGAAUUCUCGGUGUAGAGGUGAAAUUCGUAGAUAUCGAGAGGAACACCGGUGGCGAAGGCGGCCAACUGGACGAAUACUGACGCUGAGACACGAAAGCGUGGGGAGCAAACAGG
rnacentral:rRNA from 1 species